CGAAGCUUUCUCAGGUGUUUCAGGUUAAUUGAAAUUAACUCGCACUAAUUAUCUGAUUUAGAUUGAACGUUGUCGUUUACCUGGCACUUUUAGCUCUAAGCUAAUUCAGACAGGUAGUUUGAGUAAGAGGCCUUUUGCGAAACAAGAUGGCCGAGGACUCUCUGUUUGCUAGUGAUUACGGAAGCCUGUGUCCUUUAUGUGAGGAGGAAGGCGAGAGACCUUGUCUGGCACUCGGAGUCCAUGAACAACAAAGAAAUGUGGAUGAAGAAGCAGAGCUAAAAAGAGACCAUAAAAUUAGUUCUAUACAUGAAGAGAAAAAAGAAGAGGGAAGUGAAAAGGCAGAAACAGUGACAAAAGGAUUUGUUGAGACGGAUGAUGAAUAUAAUCAUGAAGAAGGUGCAGAGAUUGAAAUGGGUGAAAAAGUAGAAAUAACAGAGGAUAAUAAAAGCAAGCAUGAUGAUGGAAAAGGGAAUGAUGUGAGUGGUGCUCUGGUCCCUCCACCACAGGAGGAGAAGUGUGUCCUACGGCUGGACUCCGGCGGCCCUGUAAAUCUGGUGAUGGUGUGUGAGGAGUCCGUUGAGAGCGGUAUAAACGAAGAGCUCCUGCUGUGUCCUGCCAAGUCUCUAACCCUUUCGCAGACCCCCUUGAUAUCUUCUCCUCCCUCCCAGAAUCCUCUGGCUCUCACACUCACACCUAGCAAUCCCUCUGUGCUUCAGCUACAAACGCAGCCAGUGGUUCAGACCCAGGGCUCAGUGCCCCAGGCUCCCUGUUUGAGCAAGCGUGUGUAUGGGAGCAGCCCCUCUGUGGAGCCCAAAACAAUCACCCAUCCUGGGCAGCUGGAGGUAACACUGCAGCAGGUGUACACCACACGCCGCUACACCCGCUUCACCAGCAGGACUGCGCCAUUAAAAUCAGUACAUCCAGAGACCAGCUCCCAACCCUUACCGUGUGUCAGCAACACGUCUCUACUGGCACCAGCACCCAAAAAGAAAACACGGACCUCCUACAGCACUGAUCAGUUGGAGGAGCUAGAGAGGAUGUUUCAAGAUGAUCACUACCCAGAUGCGGACAAGCGGAAAGAGAUUGCAAUAUCAGUUGGCGUCACACCUCAGAGGGUCAUGGUAUGGUUUCAGAAUCGUCGUGCCAAAUGGCGUAAAACCUCCAAAACAACAGCAAAAAAGCCUCCUGUAACUCGGACCCAGGCACCUUCCCAAGCCCCAGUCCCCAGGCCUCCUGUUUUCACAGGUCCUACGAUUGCACCCCUACCCCCCCAAACUGGAAACACACUCCCUCCUUACAGUACACUUCUCACUGGCGGAACAAGCCCACCAGACUGUGUGGAUGUGGCAACUACUGUGUCACAGGGGAGCACAGGGGACUAUAAGCAUCCCCUCAUGCAGAGUCCCCCACCUUUGCGCCGUGCCUCCUUACCCUUCUUUGCUGCAUACAACCCCCCUACACACACACUGUCUGUACUGCUGGACACACCGGAGCACAGUGAGCCUCAGUCCUUCAGCAUGCACACUGACACCGGGUUUAACUAUGAUUCUGUGGGCUCUUCAGCUAAAUAUGAGGCUGUUGCCUCUGGUCCUGGAAACACUCAGUCGUAUCAGCUCAUGACAUAUCCCCAACAGUCCAGCACAUUACUGCCUCAGCAACAUACCACUCUCCUUCCCCAACAAAGUAAUAACAUACUCCCACAGCAGCCGAACACACUAUUGCCACAAUACUCAAGAGUAUCAUACCUCACCCCAUCUCCGUAUCUGACCCCUAACUCGAGUGAGGGCACUGCCACUUCCUGUGUGCCCCUGAACCCAGGAACUGGGAGCAGCCUGUUGCCCUGUACCAACGGAGGACAUGCCUACUUCCAAUGCCAAAACGGUAGCCAGAUACUACUACAGCCUGGGCUACAGGCACUGCAGGCAUACCCGUGGACUGGUGACAUGUACAGUCAUUCGGUUCAGGUUCCACAUGCAGUCCUAAAGCCCCAGUUCCCAUCCCAUGGUCAUGAGAGCCACUAUCCUCCGCUGGUCCCUCCCCAGUCUUACAUCACACCUCAGGGGCCAUCAUGCCCUAGCCUGGCAAAACCUGCCACCCCUGACCCUUUGCUGGCCAGUGUCAAAACAGAGCUGGAGGAAACAGCACACAGUCAGCCAGCCAAAGAUAGCGAGGCAGAGACCAUUUUCCAUUGUGACUUCUCACCCAUUCACUUCUGACAGUAACCACUUUAUACUGGUCAUGGAUGCAGUGGAUUCAGAGCCUGUCCUGGGAACACUGUGUGUGAGGACCAUCAGCACUAACACAGGAAUUUGAGUCUGCAGUCUGUUUGUGUGUUUCUGUAUUUGUCUGUGUUUUCUUCUUUCAUUGUUGACUGCAGGCUUUAUUAAAGUGCCUUUAAUCUCUUAUUA